rnacentral:sRNA from 1 species
AGCUGUUUUCCUUUUCUCUUUUUUGUGUUGCUGCUUAUGAUGCUAUAGUACCUCAAAUCGUUUGUGGGCUGAGGAUAGUACUGAGAAAGAAAAGGACAGUGUUCCUACGGCAGUGACCAUUCCUGUUGCUCCAACUGUUGUAAAUGCUGCAGCUUCUACCACAACCCUGACUACAACUACUGCUGGCACUGUCUCCUCCACAACAGAGGUCAGGGAGAGACGCAGAUCAUACCUCACUCCUGUUAGGGAUGAAGAGUCUGAAUCCCAAAGAAAAGCAAGAUCUAGACAAGCAAGACAAUCUAGAAGAUCAACACAGGGAGUGACAUUAACUGAUCUUCAAGAAGCUGAGAAAACAAUAGGAAGAAGUCGUUCUACCCGAACCAGAGAACAAGAAAAUGAAGAAAAAGAAAAAGAGGAAAAAGAAAAACAAGAUAAAGAGAAAC